AGUAUCUGAUAAAAUAUUUUUAUAUAAAUAUUUUAUUUAAAAACUUAAGGAAUUGAAUCAUCUUAGUACUUAAAGGAAUAAAAAGUAAUAACGAUUUUCAUAGUAGCGGCGAGCGAAUUGAAAAAAAAUAAACAUUUAAAAAAAUAUGUAAAAUUUUAAUAAAGUAAUAUAAUAUAUAAUUUUAUAUAAAUAAUAUAAAAAAUAAUAAGAAUUACCUUAUAAAAUUAAAUAUAAUAAAAGUUUAUAGAGAAAAGUACCGUGAGGGAAAGAUGAAAAGAAUUUUGAAAAAAUAGUGAAAAGAACCUGAAUUUUAAAUUUAAUAAAUUAUAAUAAAAUUUAAUUUUAAUUUUAUUAUAUUCUUGUUGAAGAAAGAAUUAGCAAGUUAUAAUAAAUAGUAUAAUAAUUAGGUUAAAUAUAUUUAAAUAAUGAAGCCAAAGUUAAAUCGAAUUUAUUUUUUUAAUAAAUUUAAAAUAUAUUAUUUAUUAUAGACCCGAAAUCAAAUGAUCUAAUUAUAUUUAAAAUAAAAUUUAAAUAAAAUUAAAUUAUAGUUUGAAUUGAUUACUGUUGCAAAAGUAUCAAAUAAAAUAUAAUUAGUGGUGAAAUGCCAAUCGAAUUUGAAGAUAGCUGGUUCUCUUUGAAAUAUAUGUAAGUAUAGUAUUUAUAUAUAAAUAAAUGUAAAACUCUUUUUUUAUUAGAUUAAUUUAAAUAAUUAAUAUUAAUAUUAAUAAUUUAAUAAUUUUAUUUAAUAAAAUAUAUAUAUUAUUAGAAAAUAAAGGAUAAGCUUUAUUUUCAAAAGGGAAACAGCCCUAAUUAUAAAUUAAGAUUUUUAAAUAUUAAUUAAGUUUUAAAAAGAAUAUAAAAUUAUAUUAAUAAUUAAAAAGUAAAUUUAGAAGCAGUUAUCUUUUAAAGAGUGCGUAAAAGCUCAUUAAUUUAAUAAUUUUAGUUCAAAAAUAAUCGAAAAUAAAUUAAUUAUCGAUAUUAUAAAAUUUAAUAUUAGUACAAUUAAAUUGGUAAAAGAGCGUUUUGAUAAAAUAUUAUUUAUAUGUAAAUUAAAAUAAUAAAAUCAAAAGUGAUAAUGCUAAUUUGAGUAAUGUAAAUAUUGGUAAAAAUCCAAUACUUCUAUAAUUUAAGGUUUCCUAUUUAUAAUUUUUUUUAAUAGGGUUAGUCGAAUCUUAAAAUGAGAUGAAACGUGUAAUUGAUAGA
rnacentral:ncRNA from 1 species